rnacentral:rRNA from 1 species
UACGAAGGGGGCUAGCGUUGCUCGGAAUCACUGGGCGUAAAGGGUGCGUAGGCGGGUCUUUAAGUCAGGGGUGAAAUCCUGGAGCUCAACUCCAGAACUGCCUUUGAUACUGGCGAUCUUGAGUUCGGGAGAGGUGAGUGGAACUGCGAGUGUAGAGGUGAAAUUCGUAGAUAUUCGCAAGAACACCAGUGGCGAAGGCGGCUCACUGGCCCGAUACUGACGCUGAGGUGCGAAAGCGUGGGGAGCAAACAGG